GUGGGCUGGCGGAUAGCUUUGGUGUCAGAGAAGCUCCAUAGAGGGAAUGGGAGCAGCUGUAUGGAAGUCAGGAGAACUCGUCUUUGAAACAGAAGGAGAAAGAACGCUAAAAGAGUCGUCACUGCCAGAGAACAGCAUUUAGUUUCCAAUUCGGAACACCCAGAUUACACCCACAUCUACACAGGAGCCAACGCAGAAGGUUUUGCUCUCUUGGACCAGCAGUGUUCUGUGGGCAUCGGUGGAGUUCACGGCUGGCCCACCACCUCUCCCUGUCCAAGCAGCUGAUUGUUAACUGUGUCCCCGUCUCUCUGCCGGUGUUGCCUGGCAGUUUCACACAAUGUACCUGUACUUUGUAGGACCUUCAAAUUCUGGCUUGAAAUAAAGGUUUCCACUUACUCUUCUUUCUUCCAAAAUUCCUUGCUCUUUCAGAAAUCAAAAUAAACCGCAAGUAUUAAAUAUUACCUCAUUUGGAGCUUCAAAGGGCGCUCAGCAGAGGACUGGGGAAAGCUCUUGGCUCUGUGUGGCACAUAAAGAGUGGCCCUCCUGGUUCUAGGUACUAAUUGCAUGAAAAAUACAGAGGGAGGGUGGCAAGUGGCACCGAGACAUAAAAAUGCCUGCCAUGUGUGAAAACUCAAAAAUUUUUUUUUAAAUGCAGGCAUAAGAAUUCAGCCAGAAAAAAAAAAUAGACAUGCCAAUAAAAAAUGUGUGUCUUAAAACCUGGCUGCCGGUGCCCUUCCUCUCCCCAAUGGAUACUCUCAGUAAAGAAAACAUGGUGGGUCUUUUCCCCCUCCUUUGCCUGUAUUUCAUUUCCAAUUAAAAUUAAAUAUAAACUCGAACGCCACCUGGAUUUUAGCAAAACCCAACCCCUACCUCCGCCCUUCCUUCUUUUUAAAGAGAAGAACCUGGGCUUACAUAUACAAACAUUUUGGUAAAUGACCCGUGGCAAAUUGCGUAAUGCCAGUAAAAGUUGUGUUUUUUAAGUUAUGAGACCCAAAGAUUUUUAUCUGAAAUAAAACCCUGAUUCAAUUCAGAUUCUGGAGGCCAACUGUGUCCUUAACUCUGCCUCCAAAUUUAAAACAUUUGUGCAAGGGGCCCCUUCGGUGACGCUUGCUUGUGGGUACAGAGUAGAGAUUCUGUGUUGAUUAGGAUGUGUGUUUUCUUUCCUAAGAUGAUAAAUUGGGGUACUAAUUGCCUACAAGGCCUGAUUCUACAGUCUUCACACUGAGGUCAGGAUGAAUGAAGAGAUGAGUAGGUGGAUGGGACUGGCCAUGAAUUUCAGUCUACUACCCAGUGAUAUAGAACGUGGGGAUUCCUGUAUCCGUGGGAGGUGGUUCUUGGAAGAGUCCAAUAUGGAGAACUCAAUACUGAUUACAUGUAAAUAUGAAAUGAGUAGGGCAGGCUAAAGAAUGGAAUACCCAGUCUAGACCAGACCAGACCAGUAUGUUUGGAUCCAUACGAUCUGGGCCAUGGCUUUGGUUCAUCCUUAAAAGAUGGGGAAUCCAGUAACGAGCAUGUUUUAAAGCAGUGGUUGUUCAGCCAAGGAUAAUGUACUCAUUUGUACUGCUUCAUUUUACAGAUGAGAAAAUGGAGGCACCGAAUGCUGGUCACAUGUGACAGUUUUUCUCACACAGGAACUGUGAGAGGUGGGGCUCCACCCUUCUGGCAGGGAAUUCCAGUCAAAUGGUCCCUGUAUCUCUACAAUUCCCAGAGGGAAGCUGCCUGAGAAGUGACUGAUGACGGAAGAUUGUGCCUGUGACCAUGGGACACAUGGUCCAGGAGACACAUGGGAGGUAGGAGAAUGGGGAAACGCAAAACAGAAAAGUAAGUCCUGCUUUAUUUCCCACCUCUCUGGGGAUGGAUGAGUUCUGACUUUUGUUACACAAGAGUGAGGGUCAGUAAGGAUGAUUUGCGUGUGCCACAGGUCAUGGUGGAAGCGCCCAGAACACUGGGGGAUCGGGAGAGUACAUCCAGACAAGUGGUGGCUGAAGAGAUAAAUGUGAGAAGAAAUCUUAAAACUUACUUUAUUGUUAUGGAAAAAUAUGUGACCUAUGCACUGCACAGGAUCAAGAUCAUUGUACGUAUUUCCUAUGCAUUUCAUAUGCAUCCUGCAGGGCUUUAACUUAAAGCACCUCCUCUUUGUCUCUAUAGAGCUAAUGUUGCUAUGGAAACCUUCAGAUAUACAAAAAGCAAAAAGCAUUUAUAAACAAACAAGAAUCCUAAAACUAAACGGAAGAGUGAGGUUAAGAGCACCUUCCUCCACCACAAAGAUGAUCAGCCCUCAGAAAGAAAAAAAAAAAAAAGAAAAGAAAAAAAGGGUUGGGGAUUUAGCUCAGCGGUAGAGCGCUUGCCUAGCGUGCGCAAGGCCCUGGGUUCGGUCCCCAGCUCCGAAAAAAAAAAAAAAAAAAAAGAAAGAAAGAAAAAAAAAAGAUGAUCAGCCCUCAGGUUAUUAACUACUAAAUAAGUGUUGUUAUUUUAUGUGAGCAGGUAUGUGCAUACUCACAUUGGUGCAUACCAGAGACAAAUGCCCUUACCAGGUGUAGCCACCUGAGCAGCCCAGGUAUGGUAUUCUCAAUGGCUACAAGAUUUUAAAAGUUCAGUAGGUCAAAACCACCUUCUGAACUCUUCUUCUCCCAUCCGAUUUAGGAAAUAUCCAACUGUUUAUCUUUUAAACAGGACACUAAAAUACACAGGAAUGGAUUAAAUUCUUUGUGCUUCACACACUAAUUUUGUAGGUUGAAUUCUUACUGAUGGUGGCAAUGACGUUCAUAAUAACAGCACUAGCUGACAUCUGCAGACCAUUACAAUGUGCUGCAGUUUCCUGGUCCUUUGUUACCCUCGGGAUAAUAAAUGUUGAUGCUGUCCCCAUUUGAUGGAUAUGAAAACUGAGGUGCAGAAUUUUCAGAUGUCCACAAUAACUCAUCUAGGAAGGACUGUGACUUAGGCCAGAGCUUCAAUCCCACAGCCUAACCUUGCCUGCCAGUCAUCCCACCCGCGUGGCUCUCCAGCCAAGCAGUAGAAGAUGGUCUAGAGAAACCAAAGAAGCAAAUUGUUGGGCCCUGCUAGAAUUUGAGAAUUCUGAAGGAGGAUCUGGCAAUCGGUUCUAAGAAGCCCUCAACAUAGUCCAACAGGAAACUCUGAAAAAGAUUCAAUUCCUUGCAAACAAAGCAGGCAACGUGGAUCUCUAAACCAAAAUGGCUGUGAGAGUCUGCCGAGAGUCUUGGCCAAACUGCCCAAGAAUGGUCUGCAGGUACUCACAUGCCUGCCAGGAAGGAGUGUCCAUGCUUUGUGGACCAUGUCUAUGAACCUGGCUGAGCUUAGCAUGGACCUGCCUCAUGAUAAACUGUAGUGAGGAGAGAACAAUAGUGUACGGCCACCUGAAUGAAUGUGAAAUAGCUCUCAGUGCUCAAGGCUUAUCCUGACCCGAUGCCUUUCAGAGUUUUCAUCAGAGUUGGCUGGGGCUUUGAUGUUUUGUGACACCUGAAAAAUAAUUCCAGGUACAUGCUGUUGAGUAUUUAGAGCCAAAAGAAGAGCCCUACUCCAAGACAGAGAUAGAUUACAAAAAGACUUAACAUAAUGUAAUCAUGGAAACAUAAAAAAAAAAAUAUUUGCCCAAACACUGAACAAGUUAGCAUAGUCAAAAGUCUGUGGAGUGAAUGAGAAGGGUCAAAAUUAUGUACUUACACACAUACAUACGCACAUAUGCACACAUGUAUGCCCCUAUGCAUGCCUCCCCAAGGUAUGCACCCACAUAUGCCUGUAUGCAUACACGGACACAGAUACAGAUACAGAUACAGACACACACACACACACACACACACACACACACACACACACACACUCCACAGCCAAUGUUCUUUGACAAUAGGAAUAAGAGGGCCAAUGUGACAGAAAUAAACACAUUUUUGUCAAUUGUGAAAAAGAGUAACUUAUGGGAUAAGCUUUACAAAAAGACAGAAGCAACUAUGUAAGAAAGGAAAGAAAAAAGGCCCCAGAAGGAUUAAAAAAAAAAUACCAAAGCUGACUCCAUCUUCUGGAAAAUACAGUUAAUAAGUGCAUUGAGCAACAAUCUUCAGAUUUGACAACUAUUAUCAAAUCAGGCACUAAGGUUUCAAUUAUUCUAAUUAUAGGAUGAGGUGAGUAGCUAGAAUUUGAUAUUAAAGUAUAGGAAAUAUAGAACUUACCAAGGAAACAAGCCAGACUUAGCAGGCCCCAUCUCAUCCCUGGAAAGCUCAUACUUGUACCAUGGGCUAUGUUAACAGAGACGGCAGAAGCUAUGUCCUGCAACCCAGUGACCUCAGGCCCGUCCUGAGGAAGCCUCAACUCACUAGUUGUCACUAGUUGCUCUGUAGCUUGAAUCUAAUGUCACAGAUCUCUGAAUUGAUGGAUAUUGUCAAAGACAAACCUUGCAGAUCCUUAAUUACCCAAGCCACAACUCAAAGCUAUUCAGUUCAGGAAUAUAUCUCCCAUCCAUUAUUUCCCACCGAAAGGUUUAAAGUAAAUCAGCAGAUGUUCACAUACUGAGUUUCUGUUUUCUAGUUUCACUAAAGUCUUAAAGAAAAAAAAACCCACCAUUCAGAUACUAAUUUUUUCUCUCCAGGCCACUGAGGAUUUAUGACCCAAAUCCCUCCUCUAUCUAUUGAUUGGCUUAUGUGUGUCUCCUUCAGUUUACCUCUGUGUGCAUUAAAGAUUUCCAUUGAUGGUUCACGUAUGUGCUUCUGUAUCUUAUUGCACCUCAAUUAGAGUGUGAAUUCCUAGAAUGAAAGGAGAGAGGGAAGGCAGUAUUUCUCUGUGGUGUCUAGUGGUGAGGACACGAAUGGGAGAAAGCCUACACUAGAAACAAGGGAGCUGUGGCUGAGGACAGCUGCUCUCUCAGUGACCCACCAAGAAUGUCCAAUCUCCAUUUCCUCAGCAGGCUGCCUCAAGGGUUUUUAACUAUUACCAAUGUCCAAUUUCUUAAUUUGUGAGAAACUAUCAGUUAAAUUACUGAAAACAAGAACGGAAGUGUGAAUACACCCACACAUCACUGCAUCAGACUAGAAACUGCGAGCCAAAAUCAUAAAUUAUGUGUAUAGGUAUGUAGACCCCUACACACACACACACACACACACACACACACACACACUCUUACACACACUCACAUACCCUCAAGCACACACAUAAACAUACAACAUGCUCAAACACACACUCAUACACACAUGCACGCUCACACACAUGAACACUCACAGACACCCCCCCACACACACACACACAAAGCAUCAUCUACCCUAUGACUACAAAGUAAGAGCAGAAAAUCUGCCACACACCACAUUCCACUCAAUAACCCAGGGGAGGGCUACUAUUUUUGCAAAGUGCAAGGCCGUGCACAUUUUAAGGUUUCUGGGGCAUAUAACUUCUGCUGUAAUAGGUUGCCGUGGCUGGCUCUUGUAACAGUUAAAUCUUUCCUGUCAACUUGAUGGGGUUUAGGAUCACCACAGAAACAUACCUGUAGAGGUGUAUCUAUGAAGGCUGUAUCGUUCAAAAGGGAAAAACCACCAUAAACAUGGGUAGCAACAGCCAAUGGACUGAGCUCCCAGACUGGAUACAAAGAAGAAAGCAAGUUGAAUGUCAGCGUCUACCUCUCCGUCUCCUGACCGUGGAAGCAGUGUGACCAGAUGCCUCAUGUUUCUGCAGGUGUAACCUCUCCCAUUGAUGGACCAGACCCGCACAAACUGCAGGGCAAAAUUAAUCUUUGCAUCCUUAAGUUGUUUCUGACAGCCAUGUUGUCACAUCUGUGAGGAAAAUUACUACUACAGCUGUGUAGGUCUACAGGCAGCUGUGCACCGUGGUAAACAACAGGUAUAGCCGUGUCUGCACAGGACUGUCUUCGGCAUGGAACGCUAGGCUGGAUUUGGCCUGAGCACUAGAGCUCUUUGGUUCCUGUUCUGGUGUGAAGGUUCAACCCAGCACCUUGUACACAGAAUGUGCCCAACAAACAUCUGAGGCGGGCUGCUUCCUGUCAGAAGACUCCUUUCAGAAGGCCACCCUCACAAUCACAGUCCUGAAUCACCUCAUUACAGAAUAUAACCUUGACAAUGGUGUUAGUGAUUAAAGCACACCUACCCCAUGCAUGAUGUCGUCCCCAUCUGACAGAUAGCUGAGGGCUACAGGAAGUCCAUACAUCAGUACAUACGACACAGACACAUAAUACACAGCAUAAAACUUUGUAUUUAUAAGACAAAUAUAAGCCUCAUGACCCGAACAGCAGAAUAGAAAGAAACCAGGUAGAGACAACCCAGUGCUUCUGCAUGUCGAACGCUUAUUGCACUGAAAUGGAGAUCUCACCAGGAGGAAGGAGCAAAAUGAGGGGAGGUAAGCAAUAUUAUCAAGGUGUUAUUUAUCACACACAUUAGGACCAAAAAUAGUCAGAAAAGAAUGAGCAUCGUGUCAUUCUCUCGCCGUCUUUGACCUUGUAAAAGGUUGCUGAGUUCUUAUAGAGGAUAAUGAGCGUCAGUGGGAGAAGCCUUCCUUAUGAGAGAGCUGCUCUGUACCAUGCCGCCUUGAAAAAUUAAUAUAUAAUAAUUAUAAUCAUGAAGCGCCACUCUUGCCCUGCUUUAUGAUGCUACAUCUUAUUUUAUUAAAAAUUUCCCCAAAUCUUUCUUCCCUUGGCUGUGAGAGGCAUGGCUCUGCUACGGAAAAGCAAAAGACAUUUUACGCACAAUUUUCCUCUACUAGAAAGAGGUAGAUUGUGCCCUUCAGUGAACAUAAAAUUGAUAUUAUCAUCUCUUAGUUUAUAUCUCACUACUUAACCUUCAGAUUAAAAGUUAUUGGAUUUGAAUGACUAAAAAGACAUCCUGUCACCUUCCCUCCCGUGGAGAGACCGUUCAGGGCAAGACAAAGCAGCAUGGGAAGGGUAUCCGUCCGGUGGGAACAGCAGUCUGACUGCCAUGCUCAAGGGCUCAAGGAGAGACCACAGCAGGCCACUGGCAAUAGACUCACGGCUGGGAGGAUGAAAAAUGGCAGAGUAUGCUCUGUGCUCUAGAAACCUUGCUGAAGAUGAAUGUGUGGGGAAGUUAAUCUUAUUUUGAGUAUCGUCAUAAAAGGAGCAAGCUAGGGUCUGGGGAGACAGCCCCAUCAGUGAACUGGUUACUUGCUAAACAGUAGGACCCGAGUUCAAUCCCAGCACCCAUAUUUUUCAAAGGUAAAGCCAGUGGUAGCUUGCCAGUUAUCCUAGUGCUGAGGAAGCACUGGCAAGCAUAUCCUAGCCUACCUGAGGUGAGCUCCAGGCCAGUGAGGGGCUCUAUCUUAAAAGAUUUACAAAAAUAAAAAAAUAAAUAAAAUCAAAGAGCAAACUCAGAUGACAAAAUUGGGAACAGUACAUGAUCUCAGCCUGCAAUUCUAUGUGCAUGUAUGCACAUGCACACACACAUGGACAAACGAUAGGGAUAGAAUACUAAAGUCAAGAGAAAAAGAACCGUGCCCGAGUUAUUACAUACACAAUCUCUGCAGAAGCUACAAGGGCCUUCUAGAAGGAUUAGAGAGAACCCAGCUUGCAUCUACCUUAACUUUUUCAACUUAAAUGCAGUGAGGAGACUUCCGUCCCUGGGCAGUUGGAUCGGCACCUCUUAAAUGAGUUUACCAAGAGCGCCCGCUGUUUAAUAAUUACACACUGUAUUUUUCCAGCAAAAGAUCCACACUAUGCGCUCCUCCCCCAACCCCUUGCCACUUUAAAAACAAAUUCAUUCUAAGAGGCUUUUGUCAAUAUGGAAUAAAGACCCUAUCACAGAUUCAGCUUAGUUAGUUUUGUUCUCUAAGAUAGAUAAGCCGGGCUCUGUGAUCAAUAGGCGCACAGGAGUUUUAUCAGCAUCCCCAUGUGACUCUCAGAGAUUCGAGCAGCAGGCCAAGGCUGAAGGCGACGCACUUGAUAAUAUUAAUCAGAAUAAACAUACACAACCACUGUAGUGACUUUUAGCCAAACAAAAAGGCUUUCUUUCUUCUUUCUUUUUUUUCUUUCUUUCUCUUCCUCUCUUCCUUCCUUUCUUCCCUUUUUUCUCUCUCUUGGACAAAGUCUCAAGGAGCCCAGGCUGGCCUAGAACUGAAAUUCACUAACUCGGUAGCUGAGAAUGGCUCUCAACUCAAAUGGCAGGUAUGCGCACUAUCCCUAGCUGAGAAGGUGAGGUCGCUUUUGUCAUCUCAAUGCCGCUGUGAACCACCUGAGAAGGGGAUCCCAUGAGGGGCUACCUUCUCACCACAGUACACCAUCACUGGGCGAUGUGUUGGAACGUAUCAGAGAAAGAGAAGGGCUGUCCUUUCCUGGUCGGACUUACAAGAUGUUAAAGAAUCCAUGCAUGGGGUUGCAGGAGGAAAUGGGAAGGAGAGCCAUGACAGAUCCCCAGUCAAACGUAUCCAAGAUUGGUGGACCAUUAUUAAAUGCUGGGCUAAUGGCUACCAAUCUCCCAGGGAUUCUUUCACCGCUGGCUGGGCCCAUUCUCAGUUUGCAUAGGAGCAGGGACUGAGGCCUCAUACAGGCCACUGCCACAUACUCUCUGAGCACCUUCUUCUGUGGUCUCAGCUGUCUCCUGCCCAAUCUCCCAGCUUUUGUGCCUACUUUGCCGCUCCACACACAUCAAUCUGUUCUCUCUGCCACCUCACCACAGGAGUGGGCAAGAAGAGCUGACCAGAAGCCAUGUACACAAACGAACAAAUUCAGUUCUGCAGGCC